UAGGGAAUCUUCGGCAAUGGGGGGAACCCUGACCGAGCAACGCCGCGUGAGUGAAGAAGGUUUUCGGAUCGUAAAGCUCUGUUGUUAAGGAAGAACGAGUGUGAGAAUGGAAAGUUCAUACUGUGACGGUACUUAACCAGAAAGGGAAGGCUAACUACGUGCCAGCAGCCGCGGUAAUACGUAGGUCCCGAGCGUUGUCCGGAUUUAUUGGGCGUAAAGCGAGCGCAGGCGGUUAGAAAAGUCUGAAGUGAAAGGCAGUGGCUCAACCAUUGUAGGCUCUGGAAACUGUUUAACUUGAGUGCAGAAGGGGGGAGUGGAAUUCCAUGUGUAGCGGUGAAAUGCGUCGAUAUAUGGAGGAACACCGGUGGCGAAUGCGGCUCACUGGUCUGUAACUGACGCUGAGGCUCGAAAGCGUGGGGAGCGAACAGG
rnacentral:rRNA from 1 species